rnacentral:rRNA from 1 species
GAAGCUAACGCGUGAAAUCGACCGCCUGGGGAGUACGGUCGCAAGAUUAAAACUCAAAGGAAUUGACGGGGACCCGCACAAGCGGUGGAUGNNGUGGAUUAAUUCGAUGCNAACGCGAAGAACCUUACCUGGUCUUGACAUGUACGGAACCCUCCAGAGACGGAGGGGUNCNNUNGGGAGCCGUAACACAGGUGCUGCAUGGCUGUCGUCANNNNGUGUCGUGAGAUGUUGGGUUAAGUCCCGCAACGAGCGCAACCCUUGUCAUUAGUUGCCAUCAUUAAGUUGGGCACUCUAAUGAGACUGCCGGUGACAAGCCGGAGGAAGGUGGGGAUGACGUCAAGUCCUCAUGGCCCUUAUGACCAGGGCUUCACACGUCAUACAAUGGUCGGUACAGAGGGUAGCCAAGCCGCGAGGUGGAGCCAAUCUCACAAAACCGAUCGUAGUCCGGAUUGCACUCUGCAACUCGAGUGCAUGAAGUCGGAAUCGCUAGUAAUCGCAGGUCAGCAUANUGCGGUGAAUACGUUCCCGGGUCUUGUACACACCGCCCGUCACACC